AAUCCGUGUUGUGGACACUUUUGCAAAAGGUCGUUGAAACGCUACCAUGUCUCAAACAAGGACUCAAGCUCCAUCUGAACAAAUGACGAAAUCUCGUUACGAAGCUU